GAUGACCUUGAAAUACGGGAGAAACCCGGGAAAAACGGGAGUGUUGACAGGUAUGCUCUGUGUACCAACAGCAGAUAAAAACAACCAUAUUUGAGCUUUCAUAAUUUCCCCCGCAAUGUGGACCAUCGAAGAAAAUGGAUUUAAGCCAUCAGGAGAGAGGAAGGCCCACUGUUUAACGUCUCUAAUAGCACAGUCGUUUCUAGUAUGCAUUUCCAUAGCAGUGACCUGUACAAAACACCUAGUGGUUUUAACAAACCAGAGUUAAAGAAGACGCGGCACCUUUUUUUUUUUCAUGGGUCUCUGACACAACCCAAGCCAGGAAGUCUGUUUUUGAGUGGACAACUGAGAGACUGGGGUUUGAUGUUCAUGAAGUCCAACAACCUUGUGGAAACGAAGUUGGUGUUGCUAGCUAGCUAGCUUAGCUACGGACCACGACUACGACGCACGACCAUCCCCUGGUAGGUGCAUUGGAUGCAGCUCACGCGAGGAUAGUGGAACUGGAGGUGCUGGUGUUGUCACAACUUCAAUGAAGGACUCGUCUCACCAAAUCCUCUCCUCUACACGGAAAUGUCUGACUUGGUGUCAGUGACUGUCACACCAGGGAAGGCCAGUGACCGCAAGCUGACCUUGUACUUGGGUGAAAUUCCGGUGACUCAUUUUUAGUUGAGGUUUCUCCCCCAACGAACUUGAUGUGAGGUGCCUCGUGAUGCUGGUGAUGUCUGGCCAUUUCACCUCCAUUAGUACAAAGUGGGGAACCUGCAAAGGAUCAACCACCUGACAAUCUAGGCUUGCACCCAGAUGUAUCAUAACGAUGCUGCAGUGGGAUACCUUGACCUACCAGAGAUCCACGUAGUGGUGGAGCACUUCUGGCUCCAGCCCCUGCCGCAUAUCUGCGGUUUGCCACGUUCCCUUGACCCUCCCUGCCAACCACUGCUGGGUCUCAUCUCUCCUGGCAGCAAGGACCUCAUGGCUUGCUGUGAGCCUGCUCUCCACAGGUGGCACCGGGUGUACAUAUAUAUAUAUAUAUAUAUAUAUAUAUAUAAAAUUGGUUUAUAGAUUGUUCCAUGUUGUGCAUUUCUAUGAUGUCCACAAGUUUUUCAAUAAAAUAUGUUUCUUGUUUACUUUGACACUAACCUUUUAUAGGGCAUAUAUAAUGUGGAUUUCACUCUGCAGCGUCCCGAUGUUUUUGUUUUUUUAAUGACCAACUGGUUAGGUUACGUUUACCUGAGUGCGUGGCAUGUGCAACAAUGUGAUUACAGAGUCCUCUACCAACACACAAAACAGCAUAUCCCCGCAGUCUUGCUGGCCGAAGUAGUGUUAGUAAUAGCACGGUGAGUGGAACAUAUUAGCAAAAGUUUCUGAACCUUAACUCGUGGAACAACAACUAAAACUUUUGGGAAAGAAAUAAGAGCUUUGUCUUCCAUAGUGUUGCAACAAUUUGCUACUUAUGUGUUUCUAUGGGGAAAUGUUUUGGAUAUCAUACAAAUUAUGGUCAUAUGAAGGACACAUACACACAAGGCAUUUAAUCAAUGAUAUACC